GCUCUAGUCACUGUAAAGCCACUGAAAUGAAGAGGCUCCUGGAGAACAGAGGCUCCUGGAGAACAGACACAUGAAAGAACGUGGGCUCAUCCCGUCCAUCUGAGGAUGUUCCAAGAAGAGGACUCUCAGGUGGAGAUGAUUUCACCUCUUGGGGAAAGAAAAUUCUGGAAGUUUACUACCUAUAAGUUGCUUACCUGAGCAGAAGCUGAAAAGAGCAGCCAGCACCACGAGGUGAGAAAGCCUGAGAUAUGGGCACCUGGGUGGCGGUGUUCUCCACUUCAAUGCGGGACCCAUGGCUGGUGCUGCUC